GGGACGGCGGGGGGAGCGCGAGGGGCACGGAGCGGCGAAAGAGGCGGCAGUGGAUCCGUCCGGCAGUCGGUGGCCCACGGUUGCUCGGCAACAGCAGAAGCGGAUUGAAGGGACCGGCCGCUGGAGGAUGCCGAAGCCUCCCGGGUCAGCGAUGGGAGCAGCUUUGCGUAAAGCGAGGGGUGCCUGUCCCUGUUUUCUCUUCCCGCUUUUGAAGAGAAGCUGCCGAGUGAGCGUACGCUGCGGUGAAGUUCUACAAGAUGCAGCCCUCGGGAACCGGUUGCUGUGGGGUUGCUCGUGCGGCCAGCUUUUGGUGUCGGUUGUUCCGGCGCUCCGUCGCGGUGUAGAGCCGGCCCCGUACGUAGCGGUGAGGCGUACCGCAGUUCGGUUUGAUUCUCGGAUAGGCCUCGGCUCUGACUGUGCACUCGAACGCCAAAACCUACAGCGGAAGCUGCGGUGGCUUUAGCGUGCAAGGGGCGCGAGCGCCGUGAAGCCGCCCGUGUGGCCGAGCGUCCCGAUCGCGGCGCUGAGCGUUAGACGGACUUGAGCCGCGUGCCGGAAUCGUUUUGUUUUGGAGAGGGCGGGAUAAACCUGGAGCACAACUUGGGAGGGCGGUACGUCGUGGGCAGGUUUUAGUAUUGCCUGUGGAGUGCCGCUAGAAGCGUUCGUAGUUCUUGCUUGUCUCUGUUACAAGAUGAGCCGUGUCGUCCUGCGUGACGCGUAACGGGGAGGACGGCGCGGUAGC